UCUAUAUCAUAAUAGAUAUAUAAUAGAUAUGUA
rnacentral:tRNA from 1 species